GAUGAACGCUAGCUACGGGCUUAACACAUGCAAGUCGAACGGGGUUUUGAGCUUCGGCUCAAAACUUAGUGGCAAACGGGUGAGUAACACGUAUCCAACCUGUCCCUUACUCGGGUAUAGCCUCUCGAAAGGAAGAGUAAUCCCCGAUAUUAUGUUAUAUGCGCAUGCAUAUUUCAUGAAAGAUUUAUUGGUAGGGGUUGGGGAUGCGUUCCAUUAGAUAGUCGGUGAGGUAACGGCUCACCGAGUCUAUGAUGGAUAGGGGUUCUGAGAGGAAGGUCCCCCACAUUGGAACUGCGACACGGUCCAAACUCCUACGGGAGGCAGCAGUGAGGAAUAUUGGUCAAUGGUCGGAAGACUGAACCAGCCAAGUAGCGUGCAGGAUGACGGCCCUAUGGGUUGUAAACUGCUUUUAUAUGGGAAUAAAAUACGUUACGUGUAAUGUUUUGCAUGUACCAUAUGAAUAAGGAUCGGCUAACUCCGUGCCAGCAGCCGCCGUAACAC
rnacentral:rRNA from 1 species